rnacentral:lncRNA from 1 species
CUCCAAAGCCGGUUACGACAACUCACUAACCUUCCCGCCCACGUUGAAUGAGGCGCCAGGGCUGCCUAGGAAACAAGUCUGGCCGUGUGCGCUGGAAACUGAGUCCCGGGCGGGGGAAGGAGGGGACGCCUGCCAGCCAGCCAAGGGAGUGCCAUUCUCCUCCCCGCGCUGCCUGGGCGAGCUGCACUCGCCUCCGCUGCCACUCGCCUCCGGGCUCCGGAGCACACGGACCAGGCUGCAGGGAAGAGCGCUGCUGCCAGUUUAAAUCUACUGACAUAACUUUUAAAAGGAAAAAAUCCAGAAAGCCUUUUAGCAGGAAGACAAGAAAGUGCAUUAGCGAAGACACAGCCAGGACUCUUCUGCAGGUGGAGGUGACAUACAGAAGUUACUUUGCCUUUGGAAAGAAAAGACCCGUGUAGUAUUAAUUUACGUGUAUGUGCAUUAUCCCCCUUCCUCCCCCUAGAAGUUGUCUGGGCUGCAAAGCAGCGGGGAAGCAGCGGCUGCUUAUCUCGGGCAACAGAAGAUUAUGGUGGCAGCACAACAGAAGCAGCCGCGGCAGCAGCAGCAGCAGCAGCAGCAGCAGAGUUGGUCCGUGAAUGUGUUUUCUGAUUAAAAUCAGCAUUGGAAAGUGCACCUGAAGAUUCAGCAGCUAGGCAGGAAUUGAUAAAAGAGGGAAACAUUUUAAGGGGGGAAAAGGGAGGGCGGCACUAGGUUUUGUGUGUGCCUGUGGGAGUGGGGGUUGGUUAUCAUGGCGGAUCGGACAGCUCCUAGAUGCCAGCUCCGUCUGGAAUGGGUUUACGGGUACAGGGGUCACCAGUGCCGCAAUAAUCUGUACUACACGGCAGGCAAGGAGGUGGUUUACUUCGUGGCUGGAGUCGGGGUGAUUUAUAACACCAGAGAGCACACCCAGAAAUUCUUCUUGGGACACAACGAUGAUAUUAUCAGGUAAGGGAGAGGACACAAUUGGUGUGGUGGGAUUAAUAGGGAGGGGUGGGGAGAGGAGAACUAGUAAGUACCUCCUCCUGUACUCACCUCAGAGCAUGUUUCUGUAAUUUUAGGGAGAAGCACAGGUUCUCAUCAAAGGUUUGGGUGAAAUUUGGAUCUGUCUGGAUCCUGCUGAUUUUUUUUUUACGGAAGCCCCCAAAUUUUAACUCAGAAUAGAAAACGAGUUUAGCCUUUCCUACUGCACCACAAACAAAUAAAUGAAAAAAAACACCAAAUCA